GUUUGGGAUUUUCAUGGACAGAAUGUCAUCCCCUAGGAAGGGUUUUUAGAUGGGAAAAAUCCAAAAAGAACUCUAGUCUUACAAAUUGGAGUUCAGUGCCAAGUCUCAAGAGAGAUUUUAAAGCAUCUUAUCCAUAACGUAGGUGUUUUAUUGUAAUGACAAGGAAAAAUGUGUUUUGUUUACUUGUUCUCACAAAGUAGCAAAUGCCUGAAGAAUAAAACCAGUGCAUGAGUUCAAAGCCAGUCUACCAGCAAAAGGAGGCCAGCUUAAUUAGCUCAUCAUUAGGCUAGUGAUUCAGAUCCCCAAGAUAACGAUCAUUAUUUUUCCAGAUCUUCAUUGUACCAGUUCCAUUCCUUUUAUUGCAAGUGACAGAAACAUAAGAUAGACCAACAACAGAAAACAAUGCAAACCAAACCAAAGCUUUGCAUGAAUCUAGGACCUAAAAGCUAUUAAGCUAUUGCCAGGUCUUCUCAUUCUGUUUUCUUUGCUCUAUUUCUUUUUAUGAGUUGGCCUCAAUCUUUCUGUAGUUGGCCGCACACCACAUGGGAUGGAAGAUGCAUGUAGUUGAAAUGAGCAAGAAAAACAAAAUAUAAAAACCUAUUCCUAUGAAAGCAUUAAUAGUGAAAGAAAAGGAAUUUCCCCUAAAACACAAUUAUGGGUCAAUACUGGGCCUUCAGUCAGCAAGCAUGUUGAGAGUUGACCAUCCUAGAAAUCAGCAAGAACAAAGUUUGAAUCUAGACUUGAGGACCUACUAGGUCUAUAACAGACGAGUUAACAAAAUUCACUCAGAUUUAGUUCUUUCAUAUGUAAAAUGAGCAUGGAGGUACUUUGAAAAGUUGUUAGCAUUAAUGAAAUAAAGUAUAUCAAGUGCCAUACACAGUAGUAGCUCAAUAAACAAUAAUAGUAAUCAAUACCUAUAACAGUAGCCCCAGUUCCCUGUCUCAUAAUAUAAUGUAGAAUAUGUGCUGCAAAGUCAAGAAGAUCCAAUGCUUCCAUCUUGUGGUCUAAGGACUUUGUUCUUAUCAGUCAGGAUCAUGGCAGGAAACAGCACAUCAAAGAAUUUAAUUAAAGCGGUGGUGCAGCAGCUAAGUUCUCAUGUUCCACUUCGGUGGCCUGGGGUUCGCUGGUUCGGAUCCCAGGUAUGGACAUGGCACCACUUGGCAAGCCAUGCUAUGGUAGGCAUCCCACAUAUAAAGUAGAGGAAGAUGGGCAUGAAUGUUAGCUCAGAGCCAGUCUUCCGCAGCAAAAAGAGGAGGAUUGGCAGCAGAUGUUAGCGCAGGGUUAAUCUUGCUCAAAAAAAAAAACUUUAAAAAUUAAAAAAAAAGAGUUUAAUUAAAGAGAGUUCAAUGAAAGGACAAUUUAUAAAGAGGAAUCACGGGUGAAGGAGACAACAAAGGGUCAUGUAGCACACAGGGAUUUGCAACAGUGGGAGGCUGCUCUCAUCCUUUGGCCUGAAGCUAAAAGGAGUGGGAUGUGUUAGAGAACCUGGGAGGAGGUAGGACCAUGGAAGAGGGGCCUCAGACAUGAACUGAGAAAUGUAGCAGAGAAAUGUAGGCACUGCUAAACCAUAGUCCAACAGGAGGAUAUAAAGGAAUAAAUACCCAGCCUCUCCCUUUUCUUACCCUCUGAGUUUCCACUGAUGCCUCCUAUUGGUCAAACCCAAAUAGUAGCCAGAUAGCAAAGAUAUCUGGUGAUACAGUCUGUAGAAGUCAGCCUCCUAAAGCACAGGGCAGUGAAAAGAGCAAAUAAAAUAUAUAUAUAAGUAAAAAUAGGCAUGCGCCAGCACAGUCCUUUCUGCCAUUCAGCUUCCAUUCUUAUCCUUUUAUUUAGAUAAAAAGCUACCAUACGCAGCACAAAGGAAACACAAACUCCUAAGUGCCACUUUGUCAUUGUCCUCCCAAUGGCUUGCCCUCCACUGGCUCUUCAUCUGAUGCCGUCAAUGGUGAAUAUUUAAAAUACUUGUCACUUCAUGACAUCAAUUACCAGUGUCAAGAUUGCCCAUUUAGUCUUUCAGUAUCCCCACAAAACCCAGAAUUGCAUUUUGAGGGUUAGGUUCUUGCGCCCAAACUUGCUACCAAUUAUUUUCUCUAUCAAAAUUCUAUCGGAAAACAGAUUUCACAUUUAAAAUUUUAAUUAAAUGGGGUAUAAUGAAAGGAUAAUUUAAAGAUGGGUGGGGAUGACUAAGGAAACCAACGAGGAAUGGUAAAGUGUUCAGAGAUUAGCAAUUUCAUGCAACAUUAGUACACUGUGCCCGAGUGAGCAAAGGAAAGAAACAGUGAUUCAGAGUCUGAUGAGAGCAGGAACUGUCACAAAGACUCUGUUAGGUACACAAACACAACCACUGGCAAAACUGUCACCUGGUCGACAAGAAGCAAGGAAAAUAAAUACCCAGCCUCUUUCUUUUCCUGCUUUCUAAUCUGUCAAUGCAUGUCAUUGGCCAAAACCAAACGGAAGCCAGAAGUCAAGAGAGCCUGGAUCUUGCCUUUUAUAGAAUUUGCUCUCACAAGAUGCAGAGCAGGGCAGAAAAGAAUGAAAAGUAAAUUGAAAUUAUCACACAGAGGAAACUAGCAGUGUCAUUAACUUGCUUCUCUUCUGAGUUAAAAAUUAAUCAGUGAUGUCUUCCAAUUGGAAGCUGAAAAUGGUUAUAAAGUCUUGGAAGAGAGAAACUUAUCAAAUAAGCAGAUAUCAUGCUGGGUCUCAAAGGAACCCUGAUAAGAUUUUUCUUUUCUUUUCCUCUCUUUUAAGUAUCUAACUGCCUGAUUUCCAAUGCUUCUAUUUCACUGAGACUCCAGAAUGAGAAACACAAUGAGUGAAAUAUGGGUAUCUAUUUAUUUGGUGAUUAGACACACGUUUCACAAGUUCCUCCUCUAUAAUCCACACGAUGAAAGGCAUUUAAAACCACAUUUUGGAGUUAUUUAACAGGAGGUAUUUGGUAUUCCUUUUAGGACAAAGAGAGGAGAACAAAAUGUUGAAUGAGAAAAAAAAAGUUGGGAAGGAAUUUGGGAGGCUAUUAUCCAAAAUCAAUCAAAACAUUCAAAAUUGCAUAAGGAAAAAGUCCCAUUUGUGUUCAGAAUGACAAAUCUAUGCUGCCUCAGUAAUGCCUACAAAAGUCAGGUGCCUGCUUUGCUCCGGCAGAGAGACAUAUCCAUCACGAGGCUUAAUAUGUCCGCCUGUACUUUUUCAAAAGCUUUGCAAACGCCUGCUGAUUUACCUGCAGUACAUUUUCCAGAAACUGUUGGAUAAAAUGACAACAUAUAUAUUUAGUUUCACACUUCAGUCUGUCCAAUUAGCUGUGUUUGCAGUACCAGCUGUGAGCCCAGGAGAGGAUUUAAUUUUAAGUACAGCAGUCUAGUUAACAAAAAAGGGGGGAGAAAAAAAGCUGAGCCAUGAAUUUGCCAAGUAUUAGUUUCCAAUCAUUUGUUUCUGAGAAAUAGCUCUUCAUUGCUAUUACUGAAGAUCGCUCAACGAACUAGCUCCUGAAAUUAGAUAAAGGAGCGGCGUGCAGCAGGCUGCCGUGGGAGCUCCUGUAACAGGGAUGGGGUAAUUACGAGGACACCUUUGGCAGACUCCCUACUCUCACUUACCCGUGGUUGACUUAUCUGAACAAUGCAAGUCCUCCUCGCUCAUUUUCACUGAUUAUGAAAUGAGGUCAAAGAUCUUUGAAAACAUUAAAAUGUCGCAUUAACACUAAAACAUGGGGAAAAAAAAAAAAAGGAAGAAGAAAGAUUGACUUUUAUACAAAGAGAAUCAACCUGGUAGAUUGUCUCUUUUUCACUCAAUAUUUAGGCAAAAAGUAAAUACGAACUGCUAUUUUGGGGAAUAUCUGAAGGAAAAAGAUGGUACCAGAGAAGUAGCAUUGAACUAUGAAUUAUUUUAGAGACAACAAAGGAGUUUAUGAAUCCUAGUCUUGGAAAUAUUUCAAAGGUGACCAGAAAAUCAUCUAAUGGGACUAAUGUUGAGCAAGGACAGGAAAUUUUUCGUACAAUUUUUACUAUCCAUGGCAGAGAUAUAAUAAGAAGAAUCAUUUAAGUAAUAGUAAACUAAAAUUGUCUCUAUAGAUUAUGGUUUGAAAAAAGGAUAAAUACUAGAUGUCAUAAUUAUCUCAUUUAAAAUUAAUCUCAGGCUCCAAAGAGGGGAAAGGGGAAUGUAAAACAGCUAAAAUAAAACGUUUGAGAGAAAAUGAAUUCAAAAAGUAUUCAAACCUAACUGAAAUGAAUAUAUAAAUAUAUGAUGAAACAGUUAUGAUAAGAAAUACUUUUAUUACUGAAUUAAAAUUUUUAAAAGUGAAUUAAGCCUGCAAAUAUGGGAGUGAGAAAGAAAAUAACAGAUGAACCAAAGAAAAGAGAAGAAAGGAAUUAAUAAUGAUGUAGACAGAAAGGAAACAGACAAUGUAAAAAUAUAGACAUAAUUAAUUAAAUCUAAGGAUAAAAUGUUUUAGUCAGGGCUGCUCUCAGCAGCUUGAGGCUAGUCUUAGGUCCUUGCCACACAGCCCUCUCAUAGGACCUCUCACAACAUAGUACCUUACUGUUUUAAGGCCAAUAGGAUAAUCUCUCUGACCUCUAGAACCUCUUUUAAAGGGACCAUCUGAUUUAGUCAGGCCCACCAGGACUUCUUUCUUUAGAUUAAUUUAAAACCAACUGAUUGGGAACUUUAAUUAUAUCUGCAAAAAUCCUUGACCUUCUAAUAUAACCUAAUAAUGGGAGUGACAUUCAGCAUAAUUACAGGUGCUGCCCACAUUCAAGGGAGAGUAUCAUAUAUCACUAUUACACCAUGGAGGUGGGAACCUUGGGAUCCAUUUUAGAAUUUUGCCUAUAACAGUCCAAACUCUAGCCCCCAAUGAUUUACAUUCUUCACAAAUGCAAAAUACAUUCAUCUCUUCCAAGGGUUCUUAAGUGUCUUGUCCCAUUUUAGCAUCUGCUCAGAGUCCAAAAUCUCAUUAUCUAAGUCGUAACUAGGUGAGCAUGAGGCUCCCACAUGUAAUCUGCUAAAUAACAGUUUCUGUGGCUCAAUUCUCUUCCACCUGCUCACCUGUGAAACUAAAGAGACAAGACAUCAACCCCCAGGAGUGAAUAUGCAAUGGUGAGACAGGCACAAAAUGAUAGCUGUGAACAUUCCAGUUCAAAAAGGGGAAAAAUGGAAAGUAGAAAGGAGUUACUGGUCCAUGGCAGUUCUGAAAUCCAGCCAGAGUUCCUUGAUUAGGUUUCAAGCCUGGGAAUAAUCCACCAAGGCUUUCAGUUUCACUCUCCAAGAUCUUGGUUCUGCCCAUGGAGUCAUCAUUCCUUUUCUACAAAAGAAGAUCUUUUCAGCUGAGUGGUUUUAUUAGCCUCUUUCUUCCAGUAGAAUCUUGGGAUUCUCAAUCUCUUUUUAUUUUAUACUCUCCAUCCCUUUUAGUCCAAGCUGGCAGUGUUUCUGCUGAAGCAAUUUUCUUAAAAACUCUGAGAAUCUUGCAUGGAUUGUCACUGGGUUUCACUCCAUUAAACAAAGCCACCCACAGGAAUCUUUAUGAGCUAAUCCCUCCUCUGUCUUUGCCUCCUGCUGAGAUGGCUCAGGGUUAAAAGCCAGUAAACUUCCUAGAGGCCUCUGGUUUGAUGGAGGGGAUCUGUGAGGCACAGAAAGGGCCCUGGGUAUGACUGAAUAUGCUGACUUUUUGAUCUUUUAGAAGUUUCAGCAAAAGGUUGUACAGACACACCACAGCCUCUUCUCUAUGCGGCAGUUUCAGAUGCCAUUUCUGACUUUUGCCAUCCUGAGAGGCUGAGAAUUUUCAAAAUUAUCUCGUCAUAACUCCUCUGGUUUAACAGUUGUCCCCCCAGUUUAUCUUCCCUCUCACAUUUUACCAUAAGCAGCACGAAAAAACUGGGGGCAGCUUCAACACUCUGGUUGGAAAUUUUCUUAGCUGCAUAACCAAUUUCAUUGCUUACAAGUUCUGUUUUUCAUGUAGCUACAGGAGAAAAUUUAGCUAAGUUUUCUGCCACUACAUAACAAAGAUCCUCUUUCUUCCAGUUGCCAAUAAAAUGCUCCUCACUUUUCUCUAAACCCUCACCAGCAGCAUUCCUAUAGUCCGUAAGUCUACUAACAGUUGUUCAAGUCCAUUUAUAUAUUUUCUAUCAUUCUCUUCAAAAUUAUUCCAGCCUUUACCCACUGCCUAGUGCCAAAGCCAUACUCACAUUUUAGGCAUCUCACUUUCAGGUACCAAAAUCUGUGUUAAUUAUCUAUUGCUGCAUAACAAAUUACCACAAUCUUAGUGAUAAAUAACAGGCAUUUACUUAAAACAACAUACAUUUAUUACCUCACAGUUCCUACGGGUCAAGUCUGAGCAUGGCUUCAUUGGGUCUUCUACUCAAUGUCUCACAAACCUCAAGUCAACAUAUCAGCUGGCGCUGUGGUCUCAUCUGAGGUUUGAGGCUUGAGGUCCUCUUCCAAGUUCAUGUGGUCAUUGGCAGAAUUCAUUUUCUUGCAGCUGUAGAAUUCUUGCUUCUUCAAAGCCAGCAAAAGAGCAAGAGAGAGAAAGAGAAUUUAUUUCGAGUCUGUAAGUCUCUGAUCUCCAGAUUCUCUUUUAAAGGGCUC
ensembl:lncRNA